AUACUGAUUGAAGUAUAUAUACUAAAACUAGAACAAGAUAGAGGAAAAAAAAUGCCACAGCCCCUAUGCAAAGAUGACACAAAACUUCAUGAAGUAUUUCAUAUUUGU